rnacentral:misc_RNA from 1 species
CAACUUCGUCCCCGGCAAGUGAGCGCCGCCGCCGCCGUGCUGCCAUGGCGACGCAUCGCCUUCAGCUAAGCUAGCUAGGUUGACGACGAUGCGCGUCUCUGCAGGAGAGUGUGCGUGUGUGUACGCGGUGCAGUAGAUGUACGUACGUGUACCGUAUAGAUGUACGUAUUCGUGUGGACCGCGUGGAUGGAUGUACGAGUAUUGGAGAGAGGGUGAGAUCUGUACCGGUAGUGUGUAUUUCUGUGCAGGUUCUGAACCUGAUCAAUG